rnacentral:rRNA from 1 species
UACGAAGGGUGCAAACGUUGCUCGGAAUUAUUGGGCGUAAAGCGCACGUAGGCGGCUAUCUAAGUCGGAUGUGAAAUCCCUCGGCUUAACCAAGGAAGUGCACCCGAAACUGGAUAGCUUGAGUACAGAAGAGGAUCGCGGAAUUCCCGGUGUAGAGGUGAAAUUCGUAGAUAUCGGGAGGAACACCGGUGGCGAAGGCGACUACCUGGCCUGUUCUUGACGCUGAGGCGCGAAAGCUAGGGGAGCAAACGGG